AAUAGAUACCCCGGUAGUCCACGCCGUAAACGAUGAGUGCUAAGUGUUAGAGGGUUUCCGCCCUUUAGUGCUGCAGCUAACGCAUUAAGCACUCCGCCUGGGGAGUACGGCCGCAAGGCUGAAACUCAAAGGAAUUGACGGGGGGCCCGCACAAGCGGUGGAGCAUGUGGUUUAAUUCGAAGCAACGCGAAGAACCUUACCAGGUCUUGACAUCCUCUGACCUCCCUGGAGACAGGGCCUUCCCCCUUCGGGGGACAGAGUGACAGGUGGUGCAUGGUUGUCGUCAGCUCGUGUCGUGAGAUGUUGGGUUAAGUCCCGCAACGAGCGCAACCCUUGACCUUAGUUGCCAGCAUUGAGUUGGGCACUCUAAGGUGACUGCCGGUGACAAACCGGAGGAAGGUGGGGAUGACGUCAAAUCAUCAUGCCCCUUAUGACCUGGGCUACACACGUGCUACAAUGGAUGGUACAAAGGGCUGCGAGGCCGCGAGGUUAAGCCAAUCCCAGAAAACCAUUCCCAGUUCGGAUUGCAGGCUGCAACCCG
rnacentral:rRNA from 1 species